rnacentral:rRNA from 1 species
UACAGAGGUCUCAAGCGUUGUUCGGAUUCAUUGGGCGUAAAGGGUGCGUAGGUGGCGCUGUAAGUCGGGUGUGAAAUUUCGGAGCUUAACUCCGAAACUGCAUUCGAUACUGCGGUGCUUUGAGGACUGGAGAGGAGACUGGAAUUCAUGGUGUAGCAGUGAAAUGCGUAGAGAUCAUGAGGAAGACCAGUGGCGAAGGCGGGUCUCUGGACCAGCACUGACACUGAGGCACGAAAGCGUGGGGAGCAAACAGG